GACGAACGCUGGCGGCGUGCUUAACACAUGCAAGUCGAACGGAAAGGCCUGCUUUCCCUUGUGGAUUGCGGGUACUCGAGUGGCGAACGGGUGAGUAACAUGUGAGUGAUCUGCCCCCAACUUGGGUAUAAGCCUGGGAAACUGGGUCUAAUUCCCGAUAGGACUGCAGGGUGGUGCCUGUGGUGGAAAACGAUUUUCUAGUGGUUGGGGAUGAGCUCGCGGCCUAUCAGCUUGUUGGUGGGGUAAUGGCCUACCAAGGCGGCGACGGGUAGCCGGCCUGAGAGGGUGGACGGCCACAUUGGGACUGAGAUACGGCCCAGACUCCUACGGGAGGCAGCAGUGGGGAAUAUUGCACAAUGGGCGGAAGCCUGAUGCAGCGACGCCGCGUGGGGGAUGACGGCCUUCGGGUUGUAAACUCCUUUCGACCGCGAGGAAGCCACCUGGUUGGAAGGGUGGUGACGGUAGUGGUAGAAGAAGCACCGGCUAACUACGUG
rnacentral:rRNA from 1 species